CCCCUAGAUGUUCUGGGCCGCACGCGCGCUACACUGAACAGUUCAACAAGUCUUAACCUUGGCCGAUAGGUCUGGGUAAUCUUUGAACGCUGUUCGUGAUUGGGAUAGACCUUUGCAAUUAUGGGUCUUCAACGAGGAAUUCCUAGUAAACGCAAGUCAUCAGCUUGCAUUGAUUACGUCCCUGCCCUUUGUACACACCGCCCGUCGCACCUACCGAUUGAAUGGUCCGGUGAAUACUUCGGACCGGUUACUUGGUUGGUUCGCUAACCUUGUGACUGGAAAGUCGAGUGAACCUUAUUGCUUAGAGGAAGGAGAAGUCGUAACA
rnacentral:rRNA from 1 species